AAUCACCAUGCCACCAGGAUUUCUGGUCAGUCGGUCGGUCAGUCAGUCGGUCGGUCGGUCGUUCGGUCGGUCGGUCGGUCACUU
rnacentral:pre_miRNA from 1 species